AUCUUCUGCUGACAAUAAACGUGCUUUUAUGAUAAACUACCGAGAGAUCCGGUACAAAACAAUCUUGAAAAUUUGCUGGAUGACUUCUGAACGACCAAAAGUGACAUGAAGGAACAAGUCAAACCCAUCUCCCAAGAUGGCCUUGACUUCGGGAAACCGCAGGGGGCCCGGGGGGCCGUGUGGCUCGGGUCUUCACAGUCAGUGUGAACGGGACCAGCGCUCGGAGAUGGCCCAGGCGGAACACGGCGCACUCCCAAGCGCUCUGCACUAGCGUGACGUUCCUCACCACGAGCCGGAACUCGCCCGCGGACUCUUGUGCCUUGCGUGCUCCAGGUCUGAGCCAGACCGUUUGCAGUCUCCUUUAGACCCAGUCUGUCCUGAACAAGGCCGUUUGCAGUCUUCUUCAGACCCAGUCUGUCUCCAGCUCCAAAAGCCCUGAAGCUUUGUUGGUGUUAGAGGUUCACAGAAGAGAUGCAACGAGCCGGUCCUGCUGAUUCUGUACACAGGCGUGGUAUCCUUUACACCUGGGAAAAAAUAAUACAUUCGCUUGAUAUGUAUGUAUGUAUGUACAGUAUGUAUGUGCAUAUAAUUACAGUCAAAAUGAUAUUAAAACAUAACAAAUUUGCAUAUGUUUCCGCUUAUAUAAUUAAUAAAAUUGGAAUGGUUAUUUAACUAGUUUUCUGCUUUGUAUAUGUAAUUUGUAAUAUUUAAUUCAAUAUUGUAAUAUUUAAAUUUGUAAUAUGUAAUUCAAUACUGUAUUUACCCUGCUGUAUUUCCAAUUUCACUGCAGUUUCCCCUGUUUCAUUGAUACAGCUGUAAUUGCCUUCAAAUUCAAGUUUUCCACCAGCAGAUAUGCAGUGUUGUCGACCACUAAUGUCUUGAUGUUACUUGAUGUCUGCUUGGUGACCCAUUCCCACUUCGGAGGAAAAUUUCUCUUUGAUUUGCAACGUAACGCGGCAUCCAAUCCACGCAGUACUUUGUUGACUUUAUCUAGCAGAACAAACAUUAAAAUAGUUUCCACGCAUUCACAAAUAAUUCGGCCAAAUACACAACCAACCAAUUCUUGAAAUCAGAUGGAAAUAUUAUGCACUUCUACACCCGAAAGCUUUUCACAAGAGAUCGUUACUCUGAAACAACCCUGCUAUGUAACCCUUUCGAUUGUCAGAUGUUAA